rnacentral:rRNA from 1 species
UACGUAGGGGGCGAGCGUUGUCCGGAUUCAUUGGGCGUAAAGAGCUCGUAGGCGGCUUGGUAAGUCGGGUGUGAAACCUCCAGGCUCAACCUGGAGACGCCACUCGAUACUGCCAUGGCUAGAGUCCGGUAGGGGAGCGUGGAAUUCCUGGUGUAGCGGUGAAAUGCGCAGAUAUCAGGAGGAACACCAGCGGCGAAGGCGGCGCUCUGGGCCGGAACUGACGCUGAGGAGCGAAAGCGUGGGUAGCAAACAGG